UACGUAAGGGGCAAGCGUUGUCCGGAUUUAUUGGGCGUAAAGAGCGUGUAGGCGGUUUGGUAGGUCCGUUGUGAAAACUCGAGGCUCAACCUCGAGACGCCGAUGGAAACCAUCAGACUAGAGUCCGGAAGAGGAGAGUGGAAUUCCUGGUGUAGCGGUGAAAUGCGCAGAUAUCAGGAAGAACACCCGUGGCUAAGGCGGCUCUCUAGUACGGUACUGACGCUGAGACGCGAAAGCGUGGGGAGCGAACAGG
rnacentral:rRNA from 1 species